AGCCAAGGGUUUUUUCAUGUUAGGGAACAGAUGAUAGCCAGAUGGGGCUAAAUCAAAAGAAUAGGGAGGCUGAUCAACCAUUUCAAAGCCACACUUGUUCACAGGAGCCA